CCUGAGAAACCCGAAAGAUCGAAUGGGGAGAUUCAUCGUCGUUAUUCCGAAGUGUCGGCGGUUCGCGAUGCUGCUUCGGNCACCUCUUCUCGGGGUGUCCGAGCGGCACGCGAGUCAGCGCGUUAUGUCCCAGGAGUCGGCGUGCACUUCUCCCCUAGUAGGACGUCGCGACCCGUUGGGCGUCGGUCUUACGGCACGGUAGGGUAGCCUGUCGCGUUAGGCGCCGCGAGGCGUCGCUGCGCGACAGACCUAUCGGUUCGCCCGGCCGGCUGCUCGACGGUACUCGCAAGGUAUCUGGCCGCAGACAUUCGAACUGCGUCCGGCCCGUCGCAAGCGCGGCAAGUGUCUCACCGGGUUGUACGGAUCCAAUGCCGUCACCGGUACUUGCCAGCUGUUGGUUGACGGUGUCCUAGGACUGGCCAACGACUAACUAAUAUUAUGAUACCGGUCGGCGACGCUAUUGCUUCGGGUACUUUCAGGACCCGUCUUGAAACACGGACCAAGGAGUCUAACAUGUGCGCGAGUCAUUGGGAUAUGUUAAACCUAAAGGCGCAAUGAAAGUGAAGAUCCGUCCCCUUAGCCGGGGUCGAUCGAGGGAGGAUGGGCCGCGUCGCGAUGCGGCCCCGCACUCCCGGGGCGUCUCGUUCUCAKUGCG
rnacentral:rRNA from 1 species